CAGUCGCCGCGGGAAAACGUAGGUGGCAAGCGUUGUCCGGAAUUAUUGGGCGUAAAGGGCUCGCAAGCGGUUUCUUAAGUCUGAUGUGAAAGCCCCCGGCUCAACCGGGGAGGGUCAUUGGAAACUGGGAAACUUGAGUGCAGAAGAGGAGAGUGGAAUUCCACGUGUAGCGGUGAAAUGCGUAGAGAUGUGGAGGAACACCAGUGGCGAAGGCGACUCUCUGGUCUGUAACUGACGCUGAGGAGCGAAAGCGUGGGGAGCGAACAGGAUUAGAUACCCGAGUAGUCCCUGUCUCUUAUAC
rnacentral:rRNA from 1 species